GUGCAGCUGAGGACAGGCAGUGCCUCCCUGGGGAAUGCCUGGCAUGGCUGUGGUGAAAAGCCUGGUCCAGAUGCCAUGGAAGAGGCCCUGAAUUAGGAUCCUCAGGAUCAUGGUGCUGGCUCCUGUCUCUGGCCUCUCCAGGAGGGCACUGGCACAUUCCACAGCAGAGCAGAUAGCAUCUCCCAUGGCAAAGGGGCUCCUUCUGGGUGGGGAGAAAAUAUUUUCUUGAGAAAGCGCCUGCAUUCCUCCUGCUCCUGCUGGGAUGUUGGUAAGGCUGUUGCAAAAGGCUCUGUGUCAUCAGUGGGUCAUGCCCUCCA